UACGAAGGGUGCAAGCGUUACUCGGAAUUACUGGGCGUAAAGCGUGCGUAGGCGGUUUGUUAAGUCCGUUGUGAAAGCCCUGGGCUCAACCUGGGAAUUGCAGUGGAUACUGGCGAGCUAGAGUGCGGUAGAGGAUGGUGGAAUUCCCGGUGUAGCGGUGAAAUGCGUAGAGAUCGGGAGGAACAUCAGUGACGAAGGCGGCCAUCUGGGACAACACUGACGCUGAAGCACGAAAGCGUGGGGAGCAAACAGG
rnacentral:rRNA from 1 species